rnacentral:rRNA from 1 species
GAUGAACGCUGGCGGCGUGCCUAAUACAUGCAAGUCGAGCGAACAGACGAGGAGCUUGCUCCUCUGACGUUAGCGGCGGACGGGUGAGUAACACGUGGAUAACCUACCUAUAAGACUGGGAUAACUUCGGGAAACCGGAGCUAAUACCGGAUAACAUGUUGAACCGCAUGGUUCAACAGUGAAAGACGGUCUUGCUGUCACUUAUAGAUGGAUCCGCGCCGCAUUAGCUAGUUGGUAAGGUAACGGCUUACCAAGGCAACGAUGCGUAGCCGACCUGAGAGGGUGAUCGGCCACACUGGAACUGAGACACGGUCCAGACUCCUACGGGAGGCAGCAGUAGGGAAUCUUCCGCAAUGGGCGAAAGCCUGACGGAUCAACGCCGCGUGAGUGAAGAAGGUCUUCGGAUCGUAAAACUCUGUUAUUAGGGAAGAACAAAUGUGUAAGUAACUAUGCACGUCUUGACGGUACCUAAUCAGAAAGCCACGGCUAACUACGUG